rnacentral:tRNA from 1 species
UCCCUGGUGGCCUAAUGGUUAAGGAUUCAGCGUUAUCAUUGUUGUGGCUCAGGUUUGAUCCCUGGCCCGGGAA